UACAGAGGUGGCAAGCGUUGUUCGGAAUUACUGGGCGUAAAGGGCGCGUAGGCGGCCCACUAAGUCAGACGUGAAAUCCCCCGGCUUAACCUGGGAACUGCGUCUGAUACUGGAGGGCUUGAGUAUGGGAGAGGGAUGUAGAAUUCCAGGUGUAGCGGUGAAAUGCGCAGAUAUCAGGAGGAACACCGAUGGCGAAGGCAGGUCUCUGGGCCAUAACUGACGCUGAGAAGCGAAAGCAUGGGGAGCGAACAGG
rnacentral:rRNA from 1 species